rnacentral:tRNA from 1 species
UUAAUUGAAACCAAUUUAUGAGGUUAAUUAUUGUUAAUAAUUACAAAGAAAUAUAUUUUCCAAUUAAA